AACGAACGCUGGCGGCAGGCUUAACACAUGCAAGUCGAACGCAUCCUUCGGGGUGAGUGGCAGACGGGUGAGUAACGCGUGGGAACGUGCCCUUCAGUUCGGGAUAACCCAGGGAAACUUGGGCUAAUACCGGAUACGUGCGAGAGCAGAAAGAUUUAUCGCUGAAGGAUCGGCCCGCGUCUGAUUAGCUAGUUGGUGGGGUAAUGGCCCACCGAGGCGACGAUCAGUAGCUGGUCUGAGAGGAUGAUCAGCCACAUUGGGACUGAGACACGGCACAAACUCCUACGGGAGGCAGCAGUGGGGAAUAUUGGACAAUGGGCGCAAGCCUGAUCCAGCCAUGCCGCGUGAGUGAUGAAGGCCUUAGGGUUGUAAAGCUCUUUCGUCCGGGACGAUAAUGACGGUACCGGAAGAAGAAGCCCCGGCUAACUUCGUGCCAGCAGCCGCCGCGGUAA
rnacentral:rRNA from 1 species